CUCCUGUGAUCUUGUAGUUCUCCUGGAUCUUGUAGUUCUCCUGUGAUCUUGUAGUUCUCCUGGAUCUUGUAGUUCUCCUGGAUCUUGUAGUUCUCCUGUGAUCUUGUAGUUCUCCUGGAUCUUGUAGUUCUCCUGUGAUCUUGUCGUUCUCCUCUUGUAGUUCUUCUGUGAUCUUGUAGUUCUCUUGUGAUCUUGUAGUUCUUCUGUGAUCUUGUAGUUCUUCUGUGAUCUUGUAUUUCUUCUGUGAUCUUGUAGUUCUAAACGGACUCGGCGGGGUAGGGUGCGCAACGUCCGACCGUGGCGCUGAUGGACCGCAGCGUGCGCAGAGUAUGUGGACGUUGGGAGUAAUGGAGGAAAACUGGAAGUCUUUGCUUCGUCUUAUCGGCACUAAAAGAACUGGAAAUGAUGGGAGAUCAGAUCGACCCUCACAGAUAAACACUCACAUCGUCAGCGUAACGUAGGAUCAGCACUAACUCUCACUAACACUCAGGUAGUUUGUUCGGAUAGGCUGCACUUUAAGAAACGUAGGCGGGAAAAGUUUAAAAUAAAAAAAGGUUAAAAGAAACUCGAUGUGGGUUUUAAAAAUAUAAAAAAGAUGGAGCGAUCGCUGAGGCUCACCAAGAAUGUCCACACAGGAAGUGAAGAUGAAAAUGUGUUUUUCCUGACUGUGAACUGAUUGUAUGACCCCCCCCCCCCACACACACACACACACACACACACACACAGACACACACACACACACACACACACACACACACACACACACACACACACACACACACACACACACACACACACACACACAC